rnacentral:rRNA from 1 species
UACGUAGGGUGCGAGCGUUGUCCGGAAUUAUUGGGCGUAAAGAGCUCGUAGGCGGUUUGUUGCGUCGGCCGUGAAAACUUGGGGCUUAACUCCGAGCUUGCGGUCGAUACGGGCAGACUUGAGUUCGGCAGGGGAGACUGGAAUUCCUGGUGUAGCGGUGAAAUGCGCAGAUAUCAGGAGGAACACCGGUGGCGAAGGCGGGUCUCUGGGCCGAUACUGACACUGAGGAGCGAAAGCGUGGGGAGCGAACAGG